UGACGGCCCGGCAGAGGAGGUCGGGGCCCUGGAAGCGGUAGGUGAUGUCCCACAGCAGCUGGGGCAGCACCUGGAAGAGCGCCACGCCCAGAAGGAAGUUCAACCUGAAAACCAAAGACACAAAUGAGGUUCUCAACAUCACAUGGAUAUCGGAGAUUUCCAAGAAAACAGUUCUCAGCUUGUAGUCCAUAGACCUCCAGCACCACGACUGCUGCAGGUACCAGCCUGGAAAUCGAAGGCAGUGUCCCGACUUCAGCCUGGUCUCAUCCGCCGAGCGUCUCUGGAGACGAGAACCAGG